UGGAAUGGAAGACUUGCAGUAGUGAAAGCAUCCAAGUUUGUCUCCUUUGUUUCUCGAUUCCCAGCAAAACAUGCAUAUACUAAAUUAAGAAUGCUUGCUUUUUAUACAUAGGGAAUUUAUUAAUGUCUCAUAAUUUGUCAUUCUCAGAGUAACUCAGUUCCACUUACAAACAAACCUACCAAACUCUAGCUAUAGCUAAGGGAUAGGGUUCAGAGAUCAUGCUGAUCGAUCAAACAACAGAGGAAGCAGAGGAGUUCACACCAAACAAACAGAACACAUGAACUUUUUCAAAGUGUUUCAUUUCGAGGCGACACGAGCACUUUCCCGGCAUUUCCUCCCAUCUCUUUGAAAUUCUCAAUUACUAUAUUUUGUCUCUGGAUCCUCGUGACUGAGUGAGUGACCACCGUUGUCCUCUUCAAUUCUUGAUGCACUCACCCACAUGCCUUCCUUCAAA
rnacentral:lncRNA from 1 species